rnacentral:rRNA from 1 species
UACGUAGGGUGCAAGCGUUAAUCGGAAUUACUGGGCGUAAAGCGUGCGCAGGCGGUUAUGCAAGACAGAGGUGAAAUCCCCGGGCUCAACCUGGGAACUGCCUUUGUGACUGCAUAGCUAGAGUACGGUAGAGGGGGAUGGAAUUCCGCGUGUAGCAGUGAAAUGCGUAGAUAUGCGGAGGAACACCGAUGGCGAAGGCAAUCCCCUGGACCUGUACUGACGCUCAUGUACGAAAGCGUGGGGAGCAAACAGG